GCGUGGCGGCGCUACCAUGCAGUCGAGCGGUAGCACAGAGAGCUUGCUCUCGGGUGACGAGCGGCGGACGGGUGAGUAAUGUCUGGGAAACUGCCUGAUGGAGGGGGAUAACUACUGGAAACGGUAGCUAAUACCGCAUAACGUCGCAAGACCAAAGUGGGGGACCUUCGGGCCUCAUGCCAUCAGAUGUGCCCAGAUGGGAUUAGCUGGUAGGUGGGGUAACGGCUCACCUAGGCGACGAUCCCUAGCUGGUCUGAGAGGAUGACCAGCCACACUGGAACUGAGACACGGUCCAGACUCCUACGGGAGGCAGCAGUGGGGAAUAUUGCACAAUGGGCGCAAGCCUGAUGCAGCCAUGCCGCGUGUGUGAAGAAGGCCUUCGGGUUGUAAAGCACUUUCAGCGGGGAGGAAGGCGGUGAGGUUAAUAACCUCGUCGAUUGACGUUACCCGCAGAAGAAGCACCGGCUAACUCCGUGCCAGCAGCCGCGGUAAUACGGAGGGUGCAAGCGUUAAUCGGAAUUACUGGGCGUAAAGCGCACGCAGGCGGUCUGUCAAGUCGGAUGUGAAAUCCCCGGGCUCAACCUGGGAACUGCAUUCGAA
rnacentral:rRNA from 1 species